rnacentral:rRNA from 1 species
UACAGAGGGGGCAAGCGUUGUUCGGAAUUACUGGGCGUAAAGCGCACGUAGGCGGCUUUGUAAGUUAGAGGUGAAAGCCCGGGGCUCAAACCCCGGAAUUGCCUUUAAGACUGCAUCGCUUGAAUCCGGGAGAGGUGAGUGGAAUUCCCAGUGUAGCGGUGAAAUGCGUAGAUAUUGGGAGGAACACCAGUGGCGAAGGCGGCUCACUGGACCGGAACUGACGCUGAGGCGCGAAAGCGUGGGGAGCAA